GUGCAACACGGUUCGUGAUCGCGGUAAAAUGUAAAUUGUUUCGUCUCCUUUUAUUUAGAUGUCUUUGGUCAGAAGUUACAAAACAAAAAGAAGAAAAACAUAGUAACAAGUCGAGGCAUGAAACUGAUUAUGAACCUAAACAAAAUGCUGAGACCCGCCUUCAAGCCCUCAAAUUCGACAAUUUAACAUCGGACCCACUUGAUGCAACUUGGAAGGCCUGUUGAAAAUUCGUCUAGACGUUAUCAAGUCUAACAAUACAGCUAAUAUAAUGAAGAAAUGGUCUUUUUAUAGAAAUCCCUCAGGAUAUCGACUGACUAUUUCUGAGGAGAAAUUUAAUAGAGAACCAAAGUAGGGGACUCUAUACAUCCAUAGUCUCUAAGUUGGCGCAGAAUGCCAGUUAGAUUCUCCUAGACAAUAGAUGCAGAGUAUCUUAUAUAAGUUCUAUUUUGUGACUUUUUUAUUAACCUUUAUAAU